CCUCUCCCCCUUCCUCUCUCUCUAAAAGAGCAAUGAGGAAAAAAAAUGUCCUCAGGUGAGGAUAAAAUAAAAUGAUGAAUUCAAAGUUCCUAGCCUUCUUCACAAGUCAAUUCUGCUGCUCAAGGAAUCUUUGAGAUCUGAGUUACAAGCACUGUGAGUUUCUAAUAGGAGAGUUACCAAACCUCAUUUACAGGCUUAUUUUCUAGAAAGUUUGCUCCAUAGAAGUAUCUCUUUGGGGGAGAGAGAGUGAUAUAAAACCCACCUUAAAGGUAAGUUAUACCAUUCAGCUGGGUUUGCCCUCCCCCUGGGUGAAUUGUCCAAAUCAGGCCCUGGACUGGAGACACUCACACCAAGGGGUCACACCGCUAUCCCCAGGGAGGGGUUCAGGAGGAACCAGUUUGAAGCAGAGGAAUAAGAUAAGCAAGACAAGAAUUCAGGCUGACCCGGAUUUAACUUCCUUCUCUAAGCUCUGAGGCCACUGCUCCUGAGAGAGAGGGUGGGGGGCUGCUGCCAAGCAGAAGGCAAAGGCUGGAAGACAGCAGCAGUCAUCUGUGAUGACCUUCUUCAGCACAGAUGUGGAGGAGAGAGACAUCAGUGUGAGAGAAAAAGAUGGAUUGAUUGCCUUCUCCUUUAUAGCUGACGGGGGAUGGAAUCUGUAACCUAGGUAUGUGCCCUGACCAGGAAUCCAAUCCACGAUCUUUCUGCCUACUGGACACUCCAACCGACUCACUCCAGCAGGGGCUGAACAAACAUUUUAGAAUACAUCUUCAGAAUGCACCAAUUGAUACUUUGAGGAGGAUGGUGAAAAAUACUAACUCUGAGGGGAGUCUGGUUGGCCUUCUGGAAAAUGAAGAUUAAAUCAUUUCCAGAGGAAGAAAUGCCCGUAGGUCCUUUGCCCCUUGCUGCCCUCCUCUGGCUCCCAGGCUCAACUACAGCCAGUUUACCUCUAGGCGAGAAAGGAAAGCCAGUGGCUGGCACAUCAGCACGCCCCGCCCCGCCUUCUGUGUAUGC